rnacentral:rRNA from 1 species
AGUGAACGCUGGCGGUAGGCCUAACACAUGCAAGUCGAACGGCAGCACAGUAAGAGUUUGCUCUUACGGGUGGCGAGUGGCGGACGGGUGAGGAAUACAUCGGAAUCUACUUUUUCGUGGGGGAUAACGUAGGGAAACUUACGCUAAUACCGCAUACGACCUACGGGUGAAAGCAGGGGAUCUUUGGACCUUGCGCGAUUGAAUGAGCCGAUGUCGGAUUAGCUAGUUGGCGGGGUAAAGGCCCACCAAGGCGACGAUCCGUAGCUGGUCUGAGAGGAUGAUCAGCCACACUGGAGCUGAGACACGGUCCAGACUCCUACGGGAGGCAGCAGUGGGGAAUAUUAGACAAUGGGCGCAAGCCUGAUCCAGCCAUACCGCGUGGGUGAAGAAGGCCUUCGGGUUGUAAAGCCCUUUUGUUGGGAAAGAAAAGCAGCAGGUUAAUACCCCGCUGUUCUGACGGUACCCAAAGAAUAAGCACCGGCUAACUUCGUG